rnacentral:lncRNA from 12 species
AUGCCGGUCGCGCCGGGUCUGGCCACCGGGUGGCACCCACGCUCCACAAAUGCUGCCAACGCGCUGGGCUCGGUCUCCGCUAGGCUCUGCUUGGGAACCAGGGGAGGCAGGGGCUGCAGGAGGGCCAGCGCUGCCCUAGUCCCAGCCCCUGGCUCUCUGAGCCAUGAGUUGACAUUCGUCCCCACUAGGCCUUCUUCCUCAAGCCUUUGUGUUUAUUCUGUUCCCUGCAGACCGAGUGAUGCCCCUUCUCCCAGGCGGCCUGUCUGCCCAUCAGGAGGCCCAGCGCGGCCAGACAGUGAGCCACGAGCACCCUCAGCCCUGGAGCCCGCCCAGUGGUGUUUACAGGAGGCCGGGUCUGGGAACACCUGUUGUCCAGGCAGCCUCCUGCUGUCCUGCCUCCCUACACCCAGCUCACCAUCAGAAAUGCCAUGUUUCUGCCUGUCCUCGUUAUGGCCAGCACUAACUGGCUUUUGCCCCCGAGUAACACAUCAACUACAAGAAACAGAGAAAUUUUCUGUUUAGGGAAGGUGAAUGAACAGCUGAUCCGGGUGUGGGAGGGCAAAUAGCUUGAGGGCAGCGUGGAAGAAUCAUCCCUAGCCAGGCACCUCCCGGAGAUGGAGUCAAUUUUCUGAGUGUAGCAUGGACCUUCCUCCCAACACCCAGAUGGAAUGUCACUAGACCCUUCCCGCGGGCACCGUGCCCAGUGCCAGCGACUGGAUUGACAUCUUCAAGGUGGAGGCUGCCUGUGUUCUGGAUUACCACACGUUUGUCUGGUCUUCAGUGCCGGAAAAUGCAGCUGCCGGCUCCCCUGUCCACACCAGUGUCCAGUUCCAAGCCAGCUACCUGCCCAAACCCAGAGCCCAGCUCUACCAAUUCUGGUAGGUGAACUGCCAGGGCUGGGUGUGUGGGCAGAGUCCCCCUUUGCAGUUCCGAGAGCCAAGGCCCACGGAUGAACUGGUGACCCUGGAGGAGACUGAUGGUGACGCUGACAUCCUGCUGGUUGUCCCCAAGGCCACUGUGCUGCAGAACCAGCUGGAUGAGAGCCAGCAAGAGAGGAAUGACCUGAUGCAGCUGAAGCUGCAGCUGGAGGGACAGGUGAGGGAGCUGAAGAAUCAAGUACAGGUUCUCAGGCGGCCCUGGCGACUGCCAGGAGGAGCACGCGGAGCUCAGGGAGCAGUACAAGGGGCUCGCCCGGUCCCACGGGACCUCGUAGAAGAGAGGGACAUCCUGAGCCGACAACAGGGAGGCCAUGUGGCACGCGUCCUUGAGCUGGAAGAUGACAUCCGGACCAUCAGUGAGAAAGUGCUGACAAAGGAGGUGGAGUUGGACAGGGUGAGGACACGGUGAGGGACACGGUGAAGGCCCUAACUGGGGAAUAAGAGAGGCUCCUUGGGCAGCUGAAAGAAGUGCGAGCACAGGGAGCCAAGUGAGGCUGAGCUCCAGAGGGCACGACAGGAAAUCCAUCGCUUAACUUGGGAGCUGCAGGAAGCAAAGGGCCGGCAGGAGGAACAGGGUGCUCGGG